GACGAACGCUGGCGGCGUGCUUAACACAUGCAAGUCGAACGGAAAGGCCCUGCUUUUGUGGGGUGCUCGAGUGGCGAACGGGUGAGUAACACGUGAGUAACCUGCCCUUGACUUUGGGAUAACUUCUGGAAACUGGGGCUAAUACCGGAUAGGAGCUCCUGCUGCAUGGUGGGGGUUGGAAAGUUUCGGCGGUUGGGGAUGGACUCGCGGCUUAUCAGCUUGUUGGUGGGGUAGUGGCUUACCAAGGCUUUGACGGGUAGCCGGCCUGAGAGGGUGACCGGCCACAUUGGGACUGAGAUACGGCCCAGACUCCUACGGGAGGCAGCAGUGGGGAAUAUUGCACAAUGGGCGGAAGCCUGAUGCAGCGACGCCGCGUGCGGGAUGACGGCCUUCGGGUUGUAAACCGCUUUCGCCUGUGACGAAGCGUGAGUGACGGUAAUUGGUGAAGAAGCACCGGCUAACUACGUG
rnacentral:rRNA from 1 species